rnacentral:rRNA from 1 species
GAUGAACGCUAGCUAUAGGCUUAACACAUGCAAGUCGAGGGGUAACAAGGAGAGAGCUUGCUCUUUCUGUUGACGACCGGCGCACGGGUGAGUAACACGUAUCCAACCUACCGUAUACACUAGGAUAGCUCUUCGAAAGAAGGAUUAAUACUAGAUGUUAAGAUAUUCUCGCCUAGGAAUAUCUUCAAAGAUUUAUCGGUAUACGAUGGGGAUGCGUUCCAUUAGACAGUUGGUGAGGUAACGGCUCACCAAAUCGACGAUGGAUAGGGGUUCUGAGAGGAAGAUCCCCCACAUUGGAACUGAGACACGGUCCAAACUCCUACGGGAGGCAGCAGUGAGGAAUAUUGGUCAAUGGACGCGAGUCUGAACCAGCCAAGUAGCGUGAAGGAAGACUGCCCUAUGGGUUGUAAACUUCUUUUGUUAGGGAAUAAAGUGCGCCACGUGUGGUGUUUUGUAUGUACCUAACGAAUAAGGAUCGGCUAACUCCGUGCCAGCAGCCGCCGUAAGAC